rnacentral:rRNA from 1 species
GCAGCAUGACCUAGCAAUAGGUUGAUGGCGACCGGCGCACGGGUGAGUAACACGUAUCCAACCUACCGGUUAUUCCGGGAUAGCCUUUCGAAAGAAAGAUUAAUACCGGAUAGUAUAACGAGAAGGCAUCUUUUUGUUAUUAAAGAAUUUCGAUAACCGAUGGGGACGCGUUCCAUUAGUUUGUUGGCGGGGUAACGGCCCACCAAGACAUCGAUGGAUAGGGGUUCUGAGAGGAAGGUCCCCCACAUUGGAACUGAGACACGGUCCAAACUCCUACGGGAGGCAGCAGUGAGGAAUAUUGGUCAAUGGACGAGAGUCUGAACCAGCCAAGUAGCGUGAAGGAUGACUGCCCUAUGGGUUGUAAACUUCUUUUAUAUGGGAAUAAAGUGAGCCACGUGUGGCUUUUUGUAUGUACCAUACGAAUAAGGAUCGGCUAACUCCGUGCCAGCAGCCGCGGUAAUACGGAGGAUCCGAGCGUUAUCCGGAUUUAUUGGGUUUAAAGGGAGCGUAGGCGGACUAUUAAGUCAGCUGUGAAAGUUUGCGGCUCAACCGUAAAAUUGCAGUUGAUACUGGUCGUCUUGAGUGCAGUAGAGGUAGGCGGAAUUCGUGGUGUAGCGGUGAAAUGCUUAGAUAUCACGAAGAACUCCGAUUGCGAAGGCAGCUUACUGGACUGUAACUGACGCUGAUGCUCGAAAGUGUGGGUAUCAAACAGG